AGUACUGAGUAAAGCACUGUGUAUGGAACAAAUGUCGACAACAUUAGGCCCCAAGUUCGUUUGUUUGUUUUCCUUUGCUUAUAUCUAAUCAUGAUGAAGCAAUAGUCUCACUUCUGCUAAAAGCGGAAUCUGGGUUUUCAUUUUUAAGGGAGGUGAAAAAUGUGUAGUACAACUUAUGAUUUGAGGUGAAUGAUAAGUUUUUGAUUCUUACAGCAGUUUAAGCUACUGGGAUUUUAUGGCAUUUAGGCUAGGGGAAAGAACAGUGAGGGUUUAAAAAUAUGUAUCACCUGUAAUUUUUUCAGUACUUUUUGUGCGUGUGUGUAGCGGUAUCUUUGUUUUUCACAAGAUUGUUUCUAGGGAUUGGUAGGAAAGUUUAAAGACUUAGUGGCUUUGAUGAUAACCCUUACGAUACCGUUGUGCUUUUGUAUAAACGUGUAGAAAAGACCUAGGACAGCAUAAAGUGUUAGAUGUGCUGCUGUCUUUGGCGCUGGAGAACUUUGGAGUAUAAUUAUAUUUUCUGCUUGACAAAAAUCCAAGGUCCAGGUACACUGAUCCUUUUGUUGCAAUAACUGCUGUUGCUCCUUCGGUUUGGGAAUCUGUGGCUUGCUAGCCUUAAAUCUCUGUGAAGAGUUGUGACAGAAAAACAUCUUUCCAGCAUGUUGAACUGAACAGAUGAUCCCUCUCUUUUUUUUCUGAAGGCUCUCCUUUUGUGGUUUCUUUUUCAGGAUCAAGAAUAAACUAUGUGUUUGCGCCUUUGUCAGCAAGACUCCCAUGGGGCAAUCCUUGUAAGCGCUGGGAUUGCCUGUUUGGUAGCAAGGGGGCUUAUAAAAAGCAACUCCAGGUGGAAGUGGGCCUUUUCCUGCUCCUCCCUCUGUCCUGCUGCAAUUCCCUUUCAUCCAGGCCCCGAGAGCUGCCUGCCUUUGAGACUAAGCUAUGAAUGUAACAGAGUUGUGGUCACUUCACCAAGAUAUUGGGAUGUCUGCCAUCACUUAGGUUGAUUCAUUGACAUGUAAAUGUUUGGGGGAGUUUCCUUGUACAUAAUAUAGCACAUCAACUUACGGUGGUCAUACAAAAAACUUAAAAAGUUAAGCGUAUCUCUAAAGAAAAUGAGCAGCUUCUAUGUGUCAUUAAACUUGAUGUCUAAGACGUUGGUGUGAAUAAGGCUGCCAUCUUGUUUGGGCUUUUUAGCUCCCUUGUCAAGGUUUUUAUUUCCCUACAGAAUGCAAGGUGGAAAUGGUGUGUGGUAAAUUACUUAUUAAAUACAAAAAACUGACAGCAUGUGCAGUGCUCUGACCCAAAAGUCAUGUUGGUAACCUGCUACACCGAAGAUUAAACAAGAAAUACUAGUGCUACUGUAUCUGUUGUCUUUAUCUUCUAGCGACUGUUUUACAUCUUUUCUGUUGAGUCGUAGAAGAGCUUCAAGUAAGAUCCUGCCCCUUUAGAAGCAGUGAUAUAAUCUGUGCUCUCAGUGUGGAAAAACCCAGCAUGUUCUGGCUUGCACUUUUUAAGAGAGAAAACAAUUGGUCCAUUGCUUAAAAGUUGUGCCAUUAAGCACAGCGCUACUUAGUGUGCGGCCUACGAAGUGUGACCCGUGGCGUUACAGAUGCAGCGCACAUCCCCUCCCUCCUCCGUCACCGCAGGGUGAGGACACCAGGUCUUUCUGCCUUAACUGAAAUAAGCCAGUUCUGUUCAUCAGCCAAGAAUGUACAAGUAAAUAUAAUGAUUGGGUAAGUCGCUUGUAAUACCCAAAGUAUAAACAAACUUGUGCAUAGGAAAGGUGAGUUUGUGGCAGGUUUCCAGGGCAGUUCCCUCAGCAUCGCAGAGCUGAGGCGUUCCUCUUUAAGGGUAAGACAAAUUUUAGAUCUUUACACAAGACAGAAACAGAAAAGGUGUAGAAUGGAGGGAUACAAAAUGAGGUGUCUGGUGGUGGUGGUGCUUUUAACACUGACCUGUGGCUCUAGAUUUAUUUAUUCUCGAGUGGCCCUCGGUGGUAUUGGACACCUCCACUUUCAAAUCAUGUCAGCACGAAUGACACGUACGCAGCAUCUCCUGGAAUCAGACCUAACAUGUCUCCUAUGAAACCUGUGGAUGAAGUGAGGUGUUCCUUUAUCUGUGAGUUGUUAUUAUGCAAGUAUUUUGUGUGAAAUUCAGGUUUAAAUUUAAUAUUUGUAAAGUUCAAUUAAUGGUGCAUUGUUUUAAAUACUCCGAUGAUCAAACUCUACCUAGCCAGGCAGUUGUUUCUUUUCUUGCAGUGAAACACUGCGCAAGGGAUAUGCGUUUGUCUGGAUUGUGAGAAACUGCGAAGAUGGUACAAAGACAUUCAGAUUCCAAGCUUUGGCCCUUCUCUUGGAGUGUUCUGUGCCAGUGAAGUGAAGACCACAGCUGACAACUUCGCUACUCUGUUGCAACAGAACUUUUGCCGUGAGCUUUAAACUUUACUAUGUAUGAGACUGUUUUCUCAGGGGCAGGUCUGAAAUAGUGGAAGGAACAAUUUAUUUUACUUUUUCUCCUCUAUAUAAAAGUACAAUGAUUUUAUGUAUGUCCCCAUAUCCUUUUGAAAGCAAAUUUUCCAUGCACGCCCUUCUGGAGAGAGAUAGAGAGGGAAGGAGACAGAAGAGAUGUCGCCAAUUACUCUACUGUAAGGCACCAACAUACUACUGUGGUAAAUGUGGUAUAAGAUCACAAAAGAAUAAUAUGGAUUGACGUAAUGUAAAGUACAUUUAUGAAACGUUUCAAUUGCACCAAGCUGUGAGGAUGGUGACCAUUAUGGAUGAUCAGUUCAGAAAUCAAAAUGCACUUAAUAAAUGCAAAAGUGAAAACAAUGGUCGAUUUCUUGGAGAAAUCAAGGUAGGUGGUUAGAGGGAGUUUGUAGAGAAUCACUAACAAAAAAGCAAUGGACAAUGCAAUGCUUUUGCGAAAUGCAAUGCCCUCUUAGGAUUUAUCAAUAGGUGGCAUAUGUAAGUCAUAGAGAAAGAUGUAAAGAUGACUCCACUAAGUGCCGGUGAGGCCUCAACUGCAGUAUUGCCUUCAGUUUCAUGUUCUGUGCUGAAAAAUAAAGUACAGGACAGGGCAAGACAAAAUAAAAGAUGUAGAAAUGGUGAAGGAAGGGAGGAUGUUGAGCCUGAAAAAUACUUUUUAGAGGAAAUUGGAUAAAUUUUUCAAUGUGUAAAAGGUUAGAAGAGGUUUGAUCAACUGUUUUUGAAUGCUGGGGUAAAGAUGAGAUAAAUCGGAUCUGUACAGAGGGGAGAUGUCUCAGACCGGAUAUUAGGAGGGUGAGAGGAUGAUUUAAAUUGGAUAGUAGGAGGAGGUGGGGGAGAUGCAACAACUUUUACAUCGUUACAGUGAAAUACCAGAACAAGCCACUUAGGAAGUUCGAGUAUCUGCUCCACGGAGGGUUUCUGAGAACAGGUUAGACAAACAUCUGUUGGGGAUUGUCUGGGGCUACUUUAUCCUGUCUUUGUGUGGCUGGGGGGGACCAGAUGGUCUCUUCAGAUCCCUCUCAGUCCUCUUCCUAGAAGUUUACCGAGCAGGGAGGGCAGUGGACCCGAGUUUAAUGAGAAAACGGUGUCAUCCUCUUAGUUGAUCCUCUUUCAGAAUAGAAAAAGAAUCCAAGAGAAACCACAUCUAACUUAACUAUAUAAGUAAAUGGGGUUUUUUGUUUGUUUUUUUUUUUAAUUGUUGACUUGCAAGUUUAUGAAGCAUUUACCAAAAAAAUACAUGAAAAAGUCAUAAACUUUAUAACACAUUUAAGGUGUUCCUUAGUGCAUUUGUAGUUAAACAGCUUAAAGAAACACUUUUAAAAGUACCUCUUUUUUCAUGAACAUAAGUAGCAAAAAUAACAAGUUUAUAAGUAUUUUUAAGUAUAUUAUAAAUGUGUGUUUGGCUAUGGGUUUUAAAUUGCCUCCCAUUUUAAAACAAGUAACGACUACAUGCGUAGGUAUUUCUGACCAUGUCCGAGAAUGUCUCACCCAGGUGCUCCUUGCAUGUGCAAACCCAGGAAAUAAUCAUGACGAAUCGCUCUUGCUCCCCAGUCCACAGAAGGAACGAGUUAUUCGGUACCUGCUCUGAAAAAUCUGUCUUGAAGGAAAGCUGAAUGGAAAUGUGAAAGUCAGCGCCUCACUUCCUCGGCAGGUGAACUCUGUGGCUGCAGCGGCGUUUCCCUCCUUCCCUGCCUCCCUCCCUCCCUGCCUCCCCCGGGCUGCGCGCUGGGAAGUUCCAGUGAAAUAUAGCUGCAGUGGAAAGUCCUGCUCACAGCGAGGAGACGUGACCUCUCAGCGAGUCAGAUCCAAUUUUACAGGCGGCUCUGAGUCAGGGUGGAGCCCAUGAACUGAACUUUGUAUUUAAGAAGGAAGUGAUGUUGGUGGCAGCUUGUGUUGCUAAGCAGAUGAGUUGCCGUAUUUUUAUGUCAGCUGAUAGUUUCGUCGGGUGUGUGACUUCAUUCUUAGAUAUGAUGCCUUCCAUUUAUUAAGGACAAAGGUCAGAAACUGUCAGCAGGGUGAUAGCCGUGCCUCUCCAUAUAAGAAGAGGCGUGUUCCACUGAGCCAUCAAAGAUGGAAAUGGGAGUCCUUAAUGAUGCUUCUGCAUGGUGAAAACAAAACCGACCGUGAAACUGUCAGUUUGUGUCACGGUCCAAGAGCAAGCGUCCUCGUGAGCAGGGAUGUUGUGGAGUAGGUCAGUUCCCCGGUGUUGCUCCAUUUUUAUAAGAACUCACUACUGUUCCCGGUUAAAGAGGUGGCCUGUCUAACCCAGUGUCUUGUUUCCAGUAGUAACAGGAGCUGGGGGCUGAGGUGAGCAGUUGGGCACUGGCCUGUUAAAUCAGAAUUGAGAUGGAAAGCUAAGCGAUCCUGCCUCUGACUCUGAUAAAAUAAGUGGUGAGUCUAUUUGGGAAGGAGAGUGGGUUAUCACCUCUGUGCCGCUGGCACCCCGAUGGGUCAGCUGCACAGCUGUCCAGAUCCUCGCUGGUCAGUGGCAGCACCCGGGCAGCGUUUCUGAGACUCCUGAGCAGGAGAGUGUAGGCAGGUUCCGGGCAGCUGCCCCCAGCUGCCCAUGCACCCAUGCAACCCACAGUGGCGCAUCACAGUGUGCUGUCUCAGGUGGCAUUUCCCCCUCUUCCCACUUCAAUGUCUUUGCUUACAUCCCUAAGUUAGCCUUGAGAGAGCUGUAUGUUGCUAUCCUUGUUCUGAGAGGUACUACUGUAUGAGAAAAUUUCCACAGAAAAGAAUGAAUUUUGAGAGUAGUAUUAAUUCUUCUUGUUGUUGGAUUCCCAAGGGUGAGGCAGCAGGAAAUGCUGACAUCCCUCAGAGAGCUUUGCCCCUGUAAGGCCUGGCAGGUGAGUGGCAUGAGGACACAAGCUGCUGGAGCUUGCUGCCUCUCCGCUUUUCUGGUUCAGUUCCUCAGUUAAGGAGUUCCCUGUCACAGAAGUGGCUGUUUGGGCCAAUUCCAGCUUUUGUCACUCUGGCUGGCUUGACUUUCAAAGAAAAAAAAAAACAACAAACCAACCAAGCCACACAACUGUCUACCCUGGUUUGCCCUCUGUUCCCUUAGCUUGCUGGUGCCACAGGGUGGCUCCUUGUAGCACUUGUAUUUCUAAUGCUUUUAGCUUUUCAGCUGAAAUCGUUAAGGUUGUUCUUUCUGAUACGAGUCUACUGCUUCCUGGUACCAAAAUCCACGUGCUCUCAGUAUUUCAGUGUGCUGUACAUUGGUGAACAAUUUCUUCUAAAAAAGGAAUAUUGUUUAGCAUGCGGCACAUCGUUACCAUCUGUGCCCUUUUGCCCACUGUACCCACUCAGACUCAUGUGCUUCCAUUGCUGCCUAAUUUUUGAGAAACUUUGAGUAAAACUUUCACUUGUGAAAGAAAAAGAAACCAUUUGUCUUUUUCACUUCUUCCCCAUUUGCUGAAACAACGUUCAGAGAUGAAUAAAACGUGAGCGUGUGUCGGGGUCGUGGGAUUUUGGAGCCACUUCCCACCAAUCAUGGGGCAAAAUGUGAUGCCUUAGCUUGUCUGAGGCCGCGAAAUGGCAUCCUGAAUACUGAGCCUGAAAGGCAGCUGCUCCAAACACAAGCUUGGGCUUCUGGUGCAGUUUCAUAUCCCUCCUUGCACAAACAGAAGUAAAAGAAAGCCUGUGAGAUGAGAAGUUGUUGAGGUUUGGGUACAUCUGUACAGAAUUUCCCUGGGAGCUGCAAGUUUCUUCAUCAAAGCAAAAAAGCCUUUUGGGAGAAGGCAGCUGGAGGGUACGCCACGAGCAUGGGUCCUUUCCGUCGGGACUGAUGCAUGGUGUGGACCGUCGCAGUGCUGAGCAGGUGAGGAAGCAGAUGUGCUUAAUGCAGCUUUUCUCAAGCGGAGUCCGAGCUCACCCUGAUGGUCCUCAGCCUGGGUGGCUCCCAAACAAGGCAAAUACCCAGACUGGGUUGUCAGAAAUGAGGCGCAGGCUGCUGGGGCCUCGUGGCCCGAAGGCCUGCCAGCGCAUGGCUUGCGUGGGGACUUGGCAUUGCAAGAUGUCAUCUGCCGCCUUCGGAGGUGACAAACGUCUAGACCUUAAGAUCACAUUUCACUAUACUUGCC